rnacentral:rRNA from 1 species
GACGAACGCUGGCGGCAUGCCUAACACAUGCAAGUCGAACGAGACCUUCGGGUCUUGUGGCGCACGGGUGCGUAACGCGUCGGAAUCUGCCCUCAGGUACGGCAUAGCUCAGGGAAACUUGAGCUAGUACCGCAUAAUGACUCCGGCCCAAGGAUUUAUCGCCAGAGGAGGAGCCCGCGUCGGAUUAGCUUGUUCGUGAGGUAAAAGCUCACCAAGGCGACGAUCCGUAGCUGGUAUGAGAGGAUGAUAAGCCACACUGGGACUGAGACACGGCCCAGACUCCUACGGGAGGCAGCAGUGGGGAAUAUUGGACAAUGGGCGAAAGCCUGAUCCAGCAAUGCCGCGUGAGUGAUGAAGGCCUUAGGGUUGUAAAGCUCUUUUACCCGGGAUGAUAAUGACAGUACCGGGAGAAUAAGCCCCGGCUAACUCCGUGCCAGCCGCCGCAGUAAAAC